rnacentral:rRNA from 1 species
GAUGAACGCUGGCGGUGUGCCUAAUACAUGCAAGUCGAGCGAACAGACGAGGAGCUUGCUCCUCUGACGUUAGCGGCGGACGGGUGAGUAACACGUGGAUAACCUACCUAUAAGACUGGGAUAACUUCGGGAAACCGGAGCUAAUACCGGAUAAUAUAUUCAACCGCAGGGUUCAAUAGUGAAAGACGGUUUUGCUGUUACUUAUAGAUGGAUCCGCGCCGCAUUAGCUAGUUGGUAAGGUAACGGCUUACCAAGGCAACGAUGCGUAGCCGACCUGAGAGGGUGAUCAGCCACACUGGAACUGAGACACGGUCCAGACUCCUACGGGAGGCAGCAGUAGGGAAUCUUCCGCAAUGGGCGAAAGCCUGACGCAGCAACGCCGCGUGAGUGAUGAAGGUCUUCGGAUCGUAAAACUCUUUUAUUAGGGAAGAACAAAUGUGUAAGAAACUAUGCACGUCUUGACGGUACCUAAACAGAAAGCCACGGCUAACUACGUG